rnacentral:rRNA from 1 species
AUGCCGCGGUGAAUACGUUCCCGGGUCUUGUACACACCGCCCGUCACACCACGAGAGUUAGCAACACCCGAAGUCGGUGAGGUAACCUUUUUAGGAGCCAGCCGCCGAAGGUGGGGCCAAUGAUUGGGGUGAAGUCGUAACAAGGUAGCCGUAUCGGAAGGUGCGGCUGGAUCACCUCCUUUCU